AGGCCUUGCGCUCUUUGAGCGGCCGAUAUCAGAUUAGCUAGUUGGUGGGGUAAAAGCUCACCAAGGCGACGAUCUGUAGCGGGUCUGAGAGGAUGAUCCGCCACACUGGAACUGAGACACGGUCCAGACUCCUACGGGAGGCAGCAGUGGGGAAUUUUGGACAAUGGGGGCAACCCUGAUCCAGCCAUGCCGCGUGAGUGAAGAAGGCCUUCGGGUUGUAAAGCUCUUUCGGCCGGGAAGAAAUCGUAUCAGCUAAUACCUGGUGCGGAUGACGGUACCGGCAUAAGAAGCACCGGCUAACUACGUGCCAGCAGCCGCGGUAAUACGUAGGGUGCGAGCGUUAAUCGGAAUUACUGGGCGUAAAGCGUGCGCAGGCGGUUUUGUAAGACAGGCGUGAAAUCCCCGGGCUCAACCUGGGAACUGCGUUUGUGACUGCAAGGCUAGAGUACGGCAGAGGGGGGUGGAAUUCCACGUGUAGCAGUGAAAUGCGUAGAGAUGUGGAGGAACACCAAUGGCGAAGGCAGCCCCCUGGGUCGAUACUGACGCUCAUGCACGAAAGCGUGGGUAGCAAACAGGAUUAGAUACCCUGGUAGUCCACGCCCUAAACGAUGUCAACUAGGUGUUGGGAGGGUAAAACCUUUUAGUACCGGAGCUAACGCGUGAAGUUGACCGCCUGGGGAGUACGGCCGCAAGGUUAAAACUCAAAGGAAUUGACGGGGACCCGCACAAGCGGUGGAUGAUGUGGAUUAAUUCGAUGCAACGCGAAAAACCUUACCUACCCUUGACAUGUCAGGAACUUUCCAGAGAUGGAUUGGUGCUCGAAAGAGAACCUGAACACAGGUGCUGCAUGGCUGUCGUCAGCUCGUGUCGUGAGAUGUUGGGUUAAGUCCCGCAACGAGCGCAACCCUUGUCGUUAAUUGCCAUCAUUUAGUUGGGCACUUUAACGAGACUGCCGGUGACAAACCGGAGGAAGGUGGGGAUGACGUCAAGUCCUCAUGGCCCUUAUGGGUAGGGCUUCACACGUCAUACAAUGGUCGGUACAAAGGGUCGCCAAGCCGCGAGGUGGAGCUAAUCCCAGAAAGCCGAUCGUAGUCCGGAUUGCAGGCUGCAACUCGCCUGCAUGAAGUCGGAAUCGCUAGUAAUCGUGGAUCAGCAUGUCACGGUGAAUACGUUCCCGGGUCUUGUACACACCGCCCGUCACACCAUGGGAGCGGGUUCCGCCAGAAGUAGGUAGCCUAACCGCAAGGAGGGCGCUUACCACGGCGGGGUUCGUGACU
rnacentral:rRNA from 1 species